ACGGGUAGCAAUACCUGUUGACGGCGACCGGCGCACGGGUGCGUAACGCGUAUGUAACCUACCGUUAACAGGGGGAUAGUCAGAGGAAACUUUGAAUAAUACCGCAUAAAACAGGGGUCCGGCAUCGGAAUAUUUGUUAAAGGUGGCGACACGGUGAACGAUGGGCAUGCGUUCGAUUAGAUAGUUGGCGGGGUAACGGCUCACCAAGUCUACGAUCGAUAGGGGGUCUGAGAGGAUUAUCCCCCACACUGGUACUGAGAUACGGACCAGACUCCUACGGGAGGCAGCAGUGAGGAAUAUUGGGCAAUGGGCGAAAGCCUGACCCAGCCAUGCCGCGUGCAGGAAGACGGCCCUAUGGGUUGUAAACUGCUUUUACUCGGGAAGAAUAAGGGUUACGUGUAACCCGAUGACGGUACCGAAAGAAUAAGCAUCGGCUAACUCCGUGCCAGCAGCCGCGGUAAUACGGAGGAUGCGAGCGUUAUCCGGAAUUAUUGGGUUUAAAGGGUCCGCAGGCGGACAGGUAAGUCAGUAGUGAAAAACCGGGGCUUAACCCCGGUCGUGCUACAGAAACUGCCUGACUAGAGAAAGUUUGGCGUUGGCGGAAUGUGACAAGUAGCGGUGAAAUGCAUAGAUAUGUCACAGAACACCGAUAGCGAAAGCAGCUGACGAAGACUAUUCUGACGCUCAGGGACGAAAGCGUGGGGAGCAAACAGGAUUAGAUACCCUGGUAGUCCACGCAGUAAACGAUGGGUACCAUCUUUUUGUCCGCAAGGAUGAGAGGAUCAUCGAAAGAGAUAAGUACCCCACCUGGGGAGUACGUUCGCAAGAAUGAAACUCAAAGGAAUUGACGGGGGCCCGCACAAGCGGAGGAACAUGUGGUUUAAUUCGAUGAUACGCGAGGAACCUUACCGGGGUUUAAAUGGGAUCUGAAUAAUCUGGAAACAGGUUAGCCGCAAGGCAGAUUUCAAGGUGCUGCAUGGUUGUCGUCAGCUCGUGCCGUG
rnacentral:rRNA from 1 species